CGGGUGGCCAGUUGACAUAGGCUGCUUUUGAAAGUCCAACGUUUAGUUGAUCCUGAUAAGUGCCGGUCAUCAUAGUUGUAAACAUUUUUAAACAUAAUGCGGUUGGCAUCAUGACAACUUUGUGUUUCUAGGCAAACGCAAAUAGCUGUGUGCAAGGAGUAUUGUCUCAAAGAAGAUUUGAACAAUUUCUGGGAGAAAAAGUACUUACCUUGGUUAAACAUCAUCUUCACUUAAAUAAGUGGACAUCACAGAAAAAGGAAAAGUCACACUUUUGCACCAAAAUCAGGACUGGCUUCAAUUAGCGGUAAUCAGGUUACACCAUGCAGGAUUGUCAGCAGAGGACAUGUGACCAGAAGAAGUAGAAUCCCAGGCUGGCUCAAUGCGACUGAGUUCCUCAUAUUGUCCACAACUUCCACAAGUAAAAUAAAAGAAAGCUUGACCGUCUCCUACAGAAGACAACAAAGAGCUCUCCACUUCGCAUAUGUGAAUCGAAACAUGUAGUGAGCGUUCUCUUUAAACUCAGCCAUCUUCUUGAGUGGUCUGGAUGUGUCUGUGGGUAAAGAAAGGAAGCACGGUUAAUCCAGGACGCAAGCUGCAGUAAAGACACCCACCUGAGAGCACCAUAUCAGAAGAAACAAAGUCAUUGGAGCGACAUAAGGGAAGAAAAAAAAAAACAAUAAACAAAUUUAAGAGGAAGGCAGGAGCCAAGGCCGAGUGAGACAUGCCAGAACCCCACUGCACUGAACUCCCUGAGCCAGACUGCUCUCUUAGGGACCGCGUCUUAAACAGGAGUCCCGUCAGCAGCUAUAACGCCACUUAGGGAGCGGAUCCCUGGAAUGAACUGUCCCUAGGCGCGGCACUGGUGGUUGUGGAAAUAGAGUAUGGAUCUUUUGAUCAUGGCUGAUCCUCUCAGGCCGUGGCAAGGCUGGAGAGGGGCCUCGUCGUCUGCACCAUUAGGACUGUGAAAUUCCUGACAUUCAAAAGCAGCCACAGGUUAGGGGCCGUAUGGCGGGAGUUGUUGCACACUAUUCAGUGCUGCUUCUCACCUCUCUCGGGCCUCUGUGUUGUGAUGCAGUUAAAAACCAUAGUGUCUGUUUGAUUUAGAGGAUAUAAAAUGUGGGAACAACAAGCUUUUCGUGUCAGGGCAUCUUCACAUAGUGAUUUUUCAUUGCAGACACUGCCAGAACUCAAGGGGAUCGUGAGCAGGCUCUUGAUAUCUCUGUCUCUGUCUCUUGUUCUAACCCUUGCUGCUCCUUCUGCUUAAGAUAAAGCACAGACUGUCAUUUUAAGAAGGAUUUUCUACUCAAAACCACCUAAGGGGUUGGAUUAUGUGGAUUCAGACAAUUGAACCAACAUUAUUAGUUAUAGUUUCCUCAACAUUGCUGUGCAGAAAUGGGCUCAUUUGAAGAUAGAGCUCAGUUUCUGAGGUAAUCCAUCUCAAAGUCGCCUAAUGCCUGCAAACCAAACUAUGCUGAGAAAGUAAUCAAAUUGGAAGAACAUUUAAUCUGGAUCAUAAUGCUUGCACAAUGUUGUAUAAAAGAAUCAUGAUACUGGGGUAAACACCAUGUUAAUAUUGAGUAGCUUAAAUUUUAGACACAAUAUUGGAUGUUAGUAUGUAUAUUUUUGCAAAAAAUCGUUUUGCAUAUUCUUUUGUGAAAUAUGUUGUGUAUCUUACUAUACACAGUAGUCUUUUUGUGAAUGAUGCAGUUUUUUAAUGAAUCAUUGGAGAAAAGAUUCUCUGUACUAUUUUUAAAUACACUAGCGGAUUUGCAUACUAAGUAGGUAGUACAUUUGAAUUAGAACAUAUACUUUGUAACCGUUAAAAAAGUACAGUCUAUGUAGAUUAAAUGUGUAGUAUGAAUGAAAUGCAGAUAUACUAGA